CUCUUGAGCCACACGUGAUUUCUUUAUAUUUUGGUUCUAAGCCGCCAGAAUUUCUUGUAAAGCAUGUUCUUUUUAUACUGGUCUUGAGCAACUGUUCUUCAGAUGAAUGCAAAUUUAAUGUUUCUGGUUGAAAGCGUCAUCAGUAUGCACAAAGGAGGUGUGACAGGGCAGCAUGGAGUGUCAGGGCUAUGGCAUCAUCAGUGGACCUGUUGUGGCGGUCCACCUGUUGUGGCGGUCCAACAUGAAAAUGAGGAGACAAACACACCGAGAAUGAACAGAGACCAUCAAGGCACUGAUAGCCAAAAAACA
ensembl:lncRNA